rnacentral:rRNA from 1 species
UACAGAGGUCCCGAGCGUUGUUCGGAUUCACUGGGCGUAAAGGGUGCGUAGGUGGCAUGGAAAGUUUGAUGUGAAAGCUCAGGGCUUAACCCUGAAAUGGCAUUGAAUACUGCCGUGCUGGAGGUUUGGAGGGGGGACUGGAAUUCUUGGUGUAGCAGUGAAAUGCGUAGAGAUCGGGAGGAACACCAAUGGCGAAGGCAGCACUCUGGGACGGUACUGACGCUGAGACGCGAAAGCGUGGGGGAGCAAACAGG